GACGGGUGAGUAACACGUGGGCAACCUGCCCUUGAGACGGGGAUAACUCCGGGAAACCGGAGCUAAUACCGGAUAACACAUAUCUUCGCAUGAGGAUAUGUUAGAAGGUGGCUUUUAGCUACCACUCAAGGAUGGGCCCGCGGCGCAUUAGCUAGUUGGUGAGGUAACGGCUCACCAAGGCGACGAUGCGUAGCCGACCUGAGAGGGUGAUCGGCCACACUGGGACUGAGACACGGCCCAGACUCCUACGGGAGGCAGCAGUAGGGAAUCUUCCGCAAUGGACGAAAGUCUGACGGAGCAACGCCGCGUGAGUGAUGAAGGUUUUCGGAUCGUAAAGCUCUGUUGUUAGGGAAGAACAAGUACCUGUUAAAUAAGCAGGUACCUUGACGGUACCUAACCAGAAAGCCACGGCUAACUACGUGCCAGCAGCCGCGGUAAUACGUAGGUGGCAAGCGUUGUCCGGAAUUAUUGGGCGUAAAGCGCGCGCAGGCGGUUCCUUAAGUCUGAUGUGAAAGCCCACGGCUCAACCGUGGAGGGUCAUUGGAAACUGGGGAACUUGAGUGCAGAAGAGGAGAGCGGAAUUCCACGUGUAGCGGUGAAAUGCGUAGAGAUGUGGAGGAACACCAGUGGCGAAGGCGGCUCUCUGGUCUGUAACUGACGCUCAGGCGCGAAAGCGUGGGGAGCGAACAGGAUUAGAUACCCUGGUAGUCCACGCCGUAAACGAUGAGUGCUAAGUGUUAGAGGGGUUCCGCCCUUUAGUGCUGCAGCAAACGCAUUAA
rnacentral:rRNA from 1 species